rnacentral:rRNA from 1 species
GGCUCCUUGUAGUUGCUAGAUGGGGAGUCGGACCUGCCCAGUGAAUUUUUUCAACGGCCGCGGUACUCUGACCGUGCAAAGGUAGCAUAAUCAUUUGCCUUAUAAUUGAAGGCUUGUAUGAAGGGUUUGACAAGAAUGUAGCUGUCUCUUUAUAAUUAAGUAGAAUUUUAUUUACAGGUGAAGAAGCCUGUAUUAUAUUGAAAGACAAGAAGACCCUAUCGAGCUUUAAAAGAAUUAAUAAAUUUUAAAUAUUUAAUACUAUGUAAAAAAUUAGUUAUUAAAAAUUUUGGUUGGGGCGACUAAGGAACAAAUAAAGCUUCCUUUUUCUAAAAAACAAUCAGGUAGUGAUCCAAAAACUUUGAUUAAAGAAUUUAGUUACCGUAGGGAUAACAGCAUUAUCUUUUUUGAGAGCUCUAAUCGAAAAAAAGGUUUGUGACCUCGAUGUUGGACCAGAAUAUCCCGAAGAUGCAGCCGUCUUCAAAGGUUGGUCUGUUCGACCAUUAAAAUUCU